rnacentral:rRNA from 1 species
CCCCUAGCAUGGAGUCGCGCGGGGAAGGGUAGCUUGCUACCUGACCUAGCGGCGGACGGGUGAGUAAUGCUUAGGAAUCUGCCUAUUAGUGGGGGACAACAUUCCGAAAGGAAUGCUAAUACCGCAUACGCCCUACGGGGGAAAGCAGGGGAUCUUCGGACCUUGCGCUAAUAGAUGAGCCUAAGUCAGAUUAGCUAGUUGGUGGGGUAAAGGCCUACCAAGGCGACGAUCUGUAGCGGGUCUGAGAGGAUGAUCCGCCACACUGGGACUGAGACACGGCCCAGACUCCUACGGGAGGCAGCAGUGGGGAAUAUUGGACAAUGGGCGAAAGCCUGAUCCAGCCAUGCCGCGUGUGUGAAGAAGGGCUUUUGGUUGUAAAGCACUUUAAGCGAGGAGGAGGCUACCGAGAUUAAUACCCUUGGAUAGUGGACGUUACUCGCAGAAUAAGCACCGGCUAACUCUGUGCCAGCAGCCGCGGUAAUACAGAGGGUGCGAGCGUUAAUCGGAUUUACUGGGCGUAAAGCGUGCGUAGGCGGCUUUUUAAGUCGGAUGUGAAAUCCCUGAGCUUAACUUAGGAAUUGCAUUCGAUACUGGGAAGCUAGAGUAUGGGAGAGGAUGGGUAGAAUUCCAGGUGUAGCGGUGAAAUGCGUAGAGAUCUGGAAGGAAUACCGAUUGCCGAAAGGCAGCCAUCUGGCCUAAUACUGACGCUGAGGUACGAAAGCAUGGGGAGCAAACAGGAUUAGAUACCCUGGUAGUCCAUGCCGUAAACGAUGUCUACUAGCCGUUGGGGCCUUUGAGGCUUUAGUGGCGCAGCUACGCGAUAAGUAGACCGCCUGGGGAGUACGGUCGCAGACUAAACUCAGAUGAAUUGACGGGCCCGCACAGCGGUGGAGCAUGUGGUUUAUCGAUGCACGCGAGACUACCUGGUCUGACUAGUAAGACUUCAGAGAUGGAUGUGCU